GUGCUCGCUUCAGUAGCUCAUCCACUAAAAUUGGAAGGAUGCGGAGGUUAGCACGGCCUCUGUUCGAGGAUGGCAUGCAAAUUCGGGACGUGUUCCAUAUUUUU